CUAGCGACUUCAGAGUUUGAUCCUGGCUCAGGACGAACGCUGGCGGCGUGCUUCAUACAUGCAAGUCGAACGAGAAGUUACCUUCGGGUGAUGGAAAGUGGCGGACGGGUGAGUAAAAUGUAGGAAAUCUGCCCUAGAGAGGGGGACAACGGUUGGAAACGACCGCUAAUACCCCAUAUGAGCGUACCUGAAAUGGUAUUCUUGAAAACUCCGGUGCUCUAGGAUGAGCCUGCAUCUGAUUAGCUAGUUGGGGGUGUAAUGGACCACCAAGGCGACGAUCAGUAGCUGGUUUGAGAGGAUGAUCAGCCACAAUGGGACUGAGACACGGCCCAU
rnacentral:rRNA from 1 species